AAUCAACGCUGGCGGCGUGCCUCAGACAUGCAAGUCGAACGAUUAAAGCUCUCUUCGGAGAGUGCAUAGAGUGGCGCACGGGUGAGUAACACGUAAGUAAUCUACCUUCGAGUGGGGAAUAACGUCCGGAAACGGGCGCUAAUACCGCAUAAUGCAGCGGCAUCGCAAGAUGACAGUUGUUAAAGGAGCAAUCCGCUUGAAGAGGAGCUUGCGGCAGAUUAGCUAGUUGGUAGGGUAAUGGCCUACCAAGGCUACGAUCUGUAACCGGUCUUAGAGGACGGUCGGUCACACUGACACUGAAUAACGGGUCAGACUCCUACGGGAGGCAGCAGUCGGGAAUUUUGGGCAAUGGGGGGAAACCCUGACCCAGCAACGCCGCGUGAAGGAUGAAGUAUUUCGGUAUGUAAACUUCGAAAGAUAGGAAGAAUUAAUGACGGUACUAUUUAUAAGGUCCGGCUAACCACGUGCCAGCAGCCGCGGUAAUGUCGAUA
rnacentral:rRNA from 1 species